CGGAGAUCAACAAAGGUGCCGCUUUUGAAUGUGAAAGUUUUUUCAAGACUUUUCUAUUUCUUGGUUUGAAUCGUGUGCCUGUAGGGACACAUGCUACCUGCUUACUGGACAGUGACUACUUAGGAUAAGGACUCAGGCAAACACACAAGUGGAGAAGAUAAAUAGUAAUUUGGAACCAAAACUCAGGACGUCCCAGGAGAGGCUAGAUUAGGAAUUCUUUGAUUUGGGAUCACGAAAAUGAAGUAUCCAUAUUUUAACAGAAUGAUUAGUGGCAGAGGAAUCAUCUAAGAAAACUGAGAAGACUCUGCCAGAGUGAUGGGAAGAAAACUAGAUGAGAAAGCACCAUUCUGGAAGACAUGCUCCCAUGAACCAUGGAGAGAAGAGGAGAGGGAAGAAGUUAUUUGUGAUGUCAUUUGCCUGUGUCAUGGCCUGCCUUCCCUAGAUAUUGUCCUAAUGUGAGCAUCACACCUAAGGUACUGAAGUAGAGUUCUGGCUGUUCCUUACGGACAUCUCUGGUGAAUAAUCUGAGAAGGCCUCACUUAUAAUUUGGCUUGAAGAAAACACGAGAGCAAGUCAUGCAAUGUUCAAGUAAGAGUGCAGCAGUCAGAAGAAAAAGCUAUGCAAGGGCCCUAAGGUUGAAAGUGUUCUUAGUGUCUUUGAGAAACAUCAAGGAAUGUGCAAAAGGCAGAAUGAUAGAAGAUGAGAUCAGAGAGGGGAAGUAAAUUCAACAACAGAAAUUGAGGAUGAGGAACAUGGUGUUGCAGUUCAAACCAGUUCCAGCCAAAAUGGACUCUAGUCACAAACAAAUAGUAAUAACAAUCCAAACUUGUGGCUGAAUAGAGUUCUGAAGUUUUGAGAAAGAGUUGGGAUCCAGAGAACCUUCCCCUUCUGAGCAGCAAAACCAAAUAAAGCAGUUCUCAGGAUACAAAGACAAGACUGAGGAAGAUCCUAAUAAGGUGUUGCAAGGUGACACAGGACAAACUUUGUCCAAAGGAAAUUGAUCUGACAAGAACUUCUGGACUUGUCAGUUCUUAGGGCUGACUGGUCUAUCCUCUUUCUAUUGACUUUGGCUUACUAGACUCAAGCAGAAAGUGACAAGGGAAGAAAAGGAUACAAACAGAAGCAAGUUUCCAAGAACAAGGUUUACAUCAGGAAGAGCCAAUCAAAGAUCAUAUCUGGAGGACUGCUGCAAAGUUGUGAUAAAUGACCAAAUAGUAUUUUUAUAGAAGGUGGAAUGAAUGACAGACUAAAGAUUUCAGCUGAUUAAAGAAAUUAUGGAGUGCAUCAUUCUCAGUUUAUAUUGAACUGGGGUUCCUGAGAAAUUCCUCCUUAUAAAUUUACAUGGAAAUUAUAAUUUUUACUAGUUGAUUUCAGUUAAUUAGCCUACUGAAUAAUUUGAUUCUUGCACUCACUAAAAGAUCAUAGAGCACAAGAAUACCAUUUACAAAAUACUUUAAAAGUGGGGAUAUAAACACAAAUAAG
rnacentral:lncRNA from 1 species